rnacentral:rRNA from 1 species
AUUGAACGCUGGCGGCAUGCCUUACACAUGCAAGUCGAACGGCAGCGCGGACUUCGGUCUGGCGGCGAGUGGCGAACGGGUGAGUAAUACAUCGGAACGUACCCUGUUGUGGGGGAUAACUAGUCGAAAGAUUAGCUAAUACCGCAUACGACCUGAGGGUGAAAGUGGGGGACCGCAAGGCCUCACGCAGCAGGAGCGGCCGAUGUCUGAUUAGCUAGUUGGUGGGGUAAAGGGCCACCAAGGCGACGAUCAGUAGCUGGUCUGAGAGGACGAUCAGCCACACUGGGACUGAGACACGGCCCAGACUCCUACGGGAGGAAGCAGUGGGGAAUUUUGGACAAUGGGGGCAACCCUGUUCCAGCAAUGCCGCGUGUGUGAAGAAGGCCUUCGGGUUGUAAAGCACUUUUGUCCGGAAAGAAAUCGCGCUGGUUAAUACCUGGCGUGGAUGACGGUACCGGAAGAAUAAGCACCGGCUAACUACGUGCCAGCCGCCGCCGUAA